UCACGGCUCACCACGUGUCCACUGCUUUAACGCAAUUUUUUUUUUCUCAGCUUCAGCCUUGCAAAUGACGUCGUUCUGAACUCUUCACUGUUCCUCCCCUACCAUGACGAACCCUAGAUUGCUUUGGUGGUACUUAGAGGUGGUCAGGUUGCAUCAGCCGUUAGCACUACUGAUCAUCAUGCUGGAAAUUUUGAAGCCAAAUUUUAUGAUAUGAUUCUUCAAGAAGAAUUUAGGGAUGUGAAAGGGCAUUCUGGACUGAUUAAUGCUAUGGCCUUUAUUCAGUUGUUGUUCAAUUUUCUUCUUUAUGAGUGUUUGAUGCAAUAAUAGCUCAUGGAUCUCUCACAAAACAAGGAGUAGAAGCAAGCAUUGAGAAAAAGCAUUGUAAGGGAACUUGCUGAUGAUUUGAGAGCUCAGGCUUCCUACAUGAGAAUCAUGAAAGAAAGACCUGCAUUAUUUGACCCUGUCAGUGAUGGACAUGUUUUAGUGCAGUUUUAUGGAAAUAAUGGGAUUGUUUACCAGGAAUGGACAUUAUAUGUCUUUCACUCUAAGGAGUUGCAAUGUCAAAAUAAAAUUUUGAUUUGUUAAGGGAAGAUAUGGUGGCAAAGAAUGAAGCAGAUUGUAGAAAACUAAAGGCGUCGUCAAAGUCCUCCAAGUUUUGGGAACUGCAUAGAAGCUUCGAAGAAGGAUAGGCAUUAUCUUCGCUACCAAAUAGAAGUUGAGUGAAAGUUAAAAGAUUUAACAUUUUCCAGUGAAAAUGAGAUGCUUAAAGACACUGCAAUCUUCUCAAGAUCAUAAUUGUCAUCUCAAGUGUUGAUCUUCAAGUCAGUUUCUUCUGAAAACCGUGCUCAAAUUUGGUGUUAGAUUCCUUCUCUUGAAGGCUGCAUAUAAUGUUCCAUUUCUGAUGCGUAGAAAUACUAUACCCAAAUUGGAGCUUUCAUCUCCACCCAAAUCAAAUAUCAUUCAUUCCAAUCACCAUACGACAUGAUUGCCUUCUUGCUGGCUCAGAAACAACUGCAGACUUUACUUCCUCAGUGCAUUCUCUUCUUAUGAAUACAAUGGACCUCACUAAGCCUAAAAUUUAAGGUACGCUACUGUUGGAUAAAAUGACAAGACAAUCACAAUCCAACUACAACAAAGAACUACAUUUUUUUUGCACUUAUCACAGCAACCUACUGCUCAAAGGAAUUUCAACCCUGCAAGAGAAUCGUAUUCAAUAUUGUGGUAUGGCUUUAGGACGAUGGAACUAACACAUGGAAAAAAAUACAACCUAAAAGCGCUCCUCCUUUUACGGCUCUUUUUGUUUUCACAGUCUAGAUCAUUAGAUGUGAAAGAAAAUAUUUGCAUUAUAAAAUGUUGCCCUGAAUCACUUAUCAAGCUCUUAAAGUACUAAAAAUUCAAAUUUGACAUCACUAUUUUAUUACUGUAGUCCUUUCCUAAUGAUACAUUGAUGAACGAGAAAGAGUAUCUAUGUCCUAAAAGUAAAAUUGGUUAUUGUUAUUAUGUCUUUUUAAUUUGAAAUUAAAAAGGCUCCUCAAGAACAUUGUCUUCAA